rnacentral:lncRNA from 1 species
UUUUGAGGCCGCGGCGCCCGUCUGCCCUCACCGCCGCGUUGGUUGAGAGUGAGCGGUCGUUCGGCCUUUUGGCAACCGCCCUCGGGUCAAGGCGUCGCGGGUUUUGGCACGGGACUUCGCCAGGUGACAGCGGUAGCUCGCGCACAGCCACAUUUUGGGCUUGGCGCUCUUUUGUCGAGCAUCCAUUCGUUCCUUUGGCGGUGAACGCAAGAAAAGCUGUAUGUGCCUCACCGUUGGUGGGUGACGGGCCAGGUCAAGGAAGGAACGGUGAAUUUUCUGAUUGGGUGCGUGCCGCAAUCGGUGUCGCACGCUGAACUGCAGUCACCUGAACCGUAGGCGAUGACGUCCACGCAACCUGUGACAUCACCGGCCAUAGAAGCGGGAACCAUGAACAGAGAAAUCCGAAUAAAUUACUCACCAUGAAGAGAGAAAGAGAGAGUAUGAAAGGGAAGGACUUUGACUGCGCAGUAGUCGCUACCCACGUACCAGCGGACGACGCACUUAGUCGUAAGGACAGAAAAUAAAAACUUCUGAAGCCAU